UCGUCAACUAUCCCUGCCUAAUUUUUGGAAAAUAAAUAAAUAAUUAAAUUAAUUCCGAAAAUUAAUAAUUAAAUACUAAAAAUCCAAUUUAGGCCCGUAAUGCCUAAUUGAAGCCCGCGACGAGUCGGGAAAAAUCUUGAGAUGCAUUCAAUAAAUAAAAGUACGUCUCUACUUGCUAAUUACAUGAACCAAACGCCUAACAUGCAUCGCAUUUAAUUAAUAAUCACUAAUCUACUCUAAUCUAACAACCUAAUUGCACUUAGUUAAAUCUAAUCAACCCUUAAACAUAAUUAGCAAACUAAAAAAGCAUUAGUGAGUGAAACUUAUCGGAUUAACGAUCCGUUCGGAUCAAUUUGACAGGAAUGUGACGAGGCUCGAUUCUUCUCAAAGCGGCGACACCAACAGAGCACAAAUCGGGCUCGAAACUUGGCCUGUAAAGCCCACGAUGCUGCUGGUUUUCCCUUGGCUGUUGGCUGUUUUGCGCGGCUGAUUUCGCGUGGAGAGAAGGGCUGGAUUUGCGGCUUCAAUGGGCUGUUUCGGUGUAACAAAAACAAACAGCAAAGGAGGAGGAUUUGAGGGGGAUGACUCGGUCUUUGAUCGGGCACACGAAGAACCGAAAGAAAAUGAAGAACAGACGGGCCGAUGGAGAGGGAACCGAGCUAGAGAAAAGGGAAAGGGGAUGGAGGAGCGUCGGUCAAAAGCAGAAAAAGAGACAAGCUUUGACUCCAAAAAAUCAAAGUAAUGGAAGAGAAAGGGAAAUGGGAUAAGGCAGGGGGAGGGGUUGUCGGCGGG
rnacentral:lncRNA from 1 species